UUCUAUUAGCAAUAAUUAAUAGUACAAUCUGCUCAAUGAAAAUUAAAUAGCCGCAAAAUCUGUGCUAAGGUAGCAUAAUAAUUUGUCUUUUAAAUGAAGACCAGAACAAAAGAUUAAACGUUUAAAUUAAUAUCUAUACUUAAAAUUUUCAACUUAUCCUAAAUGUAAAAAGACAUUUAUACAAAAGAAAGACGACAAGACCCUAUUGAACUUAACUUUAGUUAAACUGGGGCAGUUAAUUAAUAAUUAUUUUAAUAAAAAUUAAUCAAAAAAAAUCCAAUACAAUUGAAAAAAUCAAGUUACCAUAGGGAUAACAGCGUAAUAAUUUUCUAAAGAUCUCAUAAAAACAAAAGUUUGCGACCUCGAUGUUGAAUAAUUACCUAAUUAGAGCAAAAGCCAAUUAAGGAAGUCUGUUCGACUUUUAAACAAUUACA
rnacentral:rRNA from 1 species